rnacentral:rRNA from 1 species
CAGGUGGUGCAUGGUUGUCGUCAGCUCGUGUCGUGAGAUGUUGGUUAAGUCCCGCAACGAGCGCAACCCUCGACCUUAGUUGCCAGCAUUCAGUUGGGCACUCUAAGGUGACUGCCGGCUAAAAGUCGGAGGAAGGUGGGGAUGACGUCAAAUCAUCAUGCCCCUUAUGACCUGGGCUACACACGUGCUACAAUGGGCGGUACAAAGGGUCGCGAACCCGCGAGGGGGAGCCAAUCCCAAAAAGCCGCUCUCAGUUCGGAUUGCAGGCUGCAACUCGCCUGCAUGAAGCCGGAAUCGCUAGUAAUCGCGGAUCAGCAUGCCGCGGUGAAUACGUUCCCGGGCCUU